rnacentral:lncRNA from 1 species
AGCUGGGUGAGAUUUGUAACCGAGCCUUUCUGAUUCCAGCUCCCUUUACUGGACCUCUCUCACCCUGAGCAUCAGAGUACUUAAGUCCUGAGACUAGUUAUGGCCACACCUGCUGGGUUACCUCUGGCAGGUCCACUCCUGCCGGAGUUUCCCUUUUUCUGCAACAGGAGAGUGGUGGAACAUUGACCCCCACGCUAACCCUUUUACAUGCACGUCCUUGUUGGAGGAAGGUACUAUUAUUAUCCCUGUAUUACAGAUGAGGCUCAGGGAAGUUAAGCAGUUUCUCCAAGGUCCCAUAGACACUAAGGGGCAGAUCCCAGAACUUAAACCCAGACCUGUUUAAGCCCAGAGGCUGAGCUCUUACCCAGUGCACUACCCUGCCUGCCUAGCCCUAACUUUUCCCCCAAGUCCUAAACUUGAUUCUCCUCUGAGCCUUGCUCCUCUGGAAGUUGCCUGUGAGAGGACCCCAGGCACUAAGCCCCAAGCUGUAGUGCCAUUCAGAGCCUGGUUUUGGGUUGAAGAUUGAGAUCUUUUAUUUUCUCUCCUUUAGCCUCUGCCCUAAACAAGUAUCUAUUUACCUCUCUUUUUAACCUUACACUUUCUUUUAAGGAGUAAUUUUUUUACAAUGUAUCUCCAUUUUUCUGCCACUAGUCAAAUAUUACCACUGAAAAAGGUUAAAUAUUUUGGAGAAAGCAUCCUUUUUUGUUGUUGUUGUUGAGAUGGAGUUUUGCUCUUGUGGCACAGGCUGGAGUGCCAUGACACGAUCUCGGCCCAUUGCAACCUCCACCUCCCACGUUCAAGCGAUUCUUGUGCCUCAGCCUCCUGAGUAGCUGGGAUUACAGGCGUGUGCCACCACGCCCGGCUAAUUUUUGUAUUUUUAGUAGACAUGGG